ACAGAACGAACGCUGGCGGCGCGUCUUAAGCAUGCAAGUCGAACGGCAAGAGGUAGCAAUACCUCCUAGAGUGGCGGACUGGUGAGUAACACGUGGGUGACAUACCCUUCAGAUGGGGAUAGCUAUUAGAAAUAGUAGAUAAUACCGAAUACGAGCACAGGGGUUAGAGAUCUGUGAGGAAAGGAGCUAAGGCUCCGCUGAAGGAAUGGCCUGCGGCCCAUUAGCUAGUUGGUGAGGUAAGAGCCCACCAAGGCGAUGAUGGGUAUCCGGCCUUAGAGGGUGAACGGACACAUUGGGACUGAGAUACGGCCCAGACUCCUACGGGAGGCAGCAGCUAAGAAUAUUCCGCAAUGGACGAAAGUCUGACGGAGCGACGCCGCGUGGAUGAAGAAGGCCGGAAGGUUGUAAAAUCCUUUUGAAACUGAAGAAUAAGCGUUGUAGGGAAUGACAGCGUGGUGACAGUAGGUUUUGAAUAAGCAACGGCUAAUUACGUGCCAGCAGCAGC
rnacentral:rRNA from 1 species